rfam:Triticum aestivum genome assembly, contig: Triticum_aestivum_CS42_TGACv1_scaffold_603009_7DL
CAAGUACUCCCUCCGCCCGUAAGUACUUGUCACGAAGAUGGAUAUAAAUGGAUGCAUCUAAAACUAAAAUACAUCUAGUUACAUCCAUUCCUCCGACAAGUAUUUCCGAACGGAGGGAGUAUACU